UCAGCAUUUGCGUUACCUCACUUCAGCAAAUUUGCUCCAAGAUAUUUUAAGUGUUAUGUCACUUUGAGAUUGCUGUAGGUUUAUUAGAAGUGAUUGUUUGAGGCAGGAAAAGACUGAAAUGGUCGUAACAUGCAGUAGUGGCCAAUCUCCACCAGAGACUUGAUCAUUUUAGAAGUUUUGUGAGCGGGUUAAGCAGCUGAAUUUGUGUGCUAGCCAUGAGGUGCCUGACUCUGAGGGCGUGAGUUCGAAUCCUAGAUGGGGCUCAACCCAGCAAUAGUACUAGAAUCUGUACUUUACUGAGAAAGUGUAAUCCCAAGUAUAACAUAUGUUACAUCUGAAAACUUUCUAAAUGGCAUUGUGUAUUCAUAGCAGAGUGUGUGCCUCAGUCAAGACAUCUGCGGUGAGUUUCAGGAGUGCAGGUAUCAUCGCACCUGUUAGAUACUGGUGCGUUCACUAAUUUAAACCAUUUGUAUUGCCUUUUCUGCUUCUAUAUAUUAUUUUCAUUUUUCUUUGAUCAUGUUCAGUUCGGUUUAGUUACGUGAUUUCAGAGUUAACACACGGUAAUAAAAGAAUACAGAACCAAACAUGUGAUUUUUUUACAAUGAAUGUUGUGGUCCAUACUUUUUGUACAGAUUGUGUUUUCCGUAUUUCUACUAGUAUCAAGUUUGCGUUUUUGCAUGUUUCUGUGUCCUUGGAAUGAACACCUGUUGUGCUAACUUUUCUUUUUGAGUUUUUAUUCAUAAACUCUGUUAUAUUGUCAGACGUACAGUGUUAACUAUAAGCAUUUAGUUUUCAUGUUUAUGGGAAAGGUUUUCAAGAAUAUUAUUAUUGAUUAUGUUAUGGAAUUUAACAGUAUUUUAGAUCAUUCUAACCAACAUGGAAAUAGUUCUGACAAGCAUCAGCAUGGCACAGACAGACCAACACGGUAAAGGUACUCACAAACAAUGUCAGAGUACUGACGAACACGGGCACAGUACUGACGAACAUGGUUACAGUACUGACGAACAUGGUAACAGUACUGACAAACAUGUAAACAGUACUGACGAACAUGGUUACAGUACUGACGAACAUGGUCACAGUACUGACGAAAAUGGUAACAGUACUGACGAAAAUGGUUACAGUACUGACGAACUUGGUUACAGUACUGACGAAGAUUGUGACAGUACUGACGAACGUGGUAACAGUACUGACGAACAUGGUAACAGUACUGACGAACAUGGUAACAGUACUGAUGAAUAUGGUUACAGUACUGACGAACAUGGUUACAUGGACAGAUUCUGUGUUUACAUUUUGUAUUUUCCAUGUGUUAUGCAUAUCCUGUAUAUAGUGUUGUAAUGAAAUAAUGUACAUGUAUUCAUGUGAGCACGACAUGAACCAGCGGGUACUGACAAACAUGACCACCAUUGUACAUCAACAUGGACAGAUUCUGUGUUUACUUUUUGUAUUUUCCAUAUGUUAUGUAUAUCAUGUCUAUAAUGUUGUAAUGAGAUAAUGUGCAUCUCUUCAUGUGAGCACGACAUGAAUCAACAUGGCCGGGUACUGACAAACAUGACCACCAUUGCACAUGAGCAUGGACAGAUUCUGUGUUUACUUUUUGUACUUUCCAUAUGUUAUGCAUAUCAUGUAUAUAAUGUUGUAAUGAGAUAAUGUAGUCAGAUGAGAAGCACGGCCAUGGUACUGACAAUCGUGAACACAGCACUAUCCAACAUGAGCAUACUAUUGCACAUACUAUGUUCAUAAGGACAGUGCUGACUGACAUGGGAACAUGGGCAGAUACUGAUGUUCAUUAGGACAGUGCUGACUGACAUGGGAACAUGGUCAGAUACUGAUGUUCAUAAGGACAGUGCUGACUGACAUGGGAACAGGGGCAGAUAUUG